GCCUAACACAUGCAAGUCGAGCGGCAGCAUGCUUAGUAGCAAUACUAAGUGAUGGCGAGCGGCGGACGGGUGAGGAACACGUAGGAACCUGCCCAAGAGAGGGGGAUAACUAAGGGAAACUUUAGCUAAUACCGCAUAAUCUCUGAGGAGAAAAGCUGCCCGUAAGGGUAGCGCUGUGGGAGGGGCCUGCGUCCGAUUAGCUAGUUGGUGAGGUAAAAGGGCACCAAGGCGACGAUCGGUAACUGGUCUGAGAGGACGACCAGUCACACUGGGACUGAGACACGGCCCAGACUCCUACGGGAGGCAGCAGUGGGGAAUCUUGGACAAUGGGGGCAACCCUGAUCCAGCGAUGCCGCGUGGGUGAAGAAGGCCUUCGGGUUGUAGAGCCCUUUAGGCUGGGAAGAAGUGUGCGGGAUGAAUAAUCCUGUACAUUGACGGUACCAGCAGAAUAAGCACCGGCAAACUCUGUGCCAGCAGCCGCAGUAA
rnacentral:rRNA from 1 species